rnacentral:rRNA from 1 species
GAUGAACGCUAGCUACAGGCUUAACACAUGCAAGUCGAGGGGCAGCAUGACCUAGCAAUAGGUUGAUGGCGACCGGCGCACGGGUGAGUAACACGUAUCCAACCUGCCGAUUAUUCCGGGAUAGCCUUUCGAAAGAAAGAUUAAUACUGGAUAGCAUAACGAGAAGGCAUCUUCUUGUUAUUAAAGAAUUUCGAUAAUCGAUGGGGAUGCGUUCCAUUAGUUUGUUGGCGGGGUAACGGCCCACCAAGACAUCGAUGGAUAGGGGUUCUGAGAGGAAGGUCCCCCACAUUGGAACUGAGACACGGUCCAAACUCCUACGGGAGGCAGCAGUGAGGAAUAUUGGUCAAUGGACGAGAGUCUGAACCAGCCAAGUAGCGUGAAGGAUGACUGCCCUAUGGGUUGUAAACUUCUUUUAUAGGGGAAUAAAGUGGGCCACGUGUGGCUUUUUGUAUGUACCAUACGAAUAAGGAUCGGCUAACUCCGUG